AGGGUCAUGGCUCAGUGGUAGGGUGCAUGCUUAGCAUGCACGAGGACCUGGCUUCAAUCCCCAGUACCUCCA
rnacentral:tRNA from 1 species